GGAUGUAGCUCAAUGGUAGAGCAUCUGACUUUUAAUCAGGUGGUUGUGAGUUCAAGUCUCACCAUCGGCA